GACGAACGCUGGCGGCGUGCUUAACACAUGCGAGUCGAACGGAAAGGCCCUGCUUUGGUGGGGUGCUCGAGUGGCGAACGGGUGAGUAACACGUGAGUAACCUGUCCUUGACUUUGGGAUAACUUCAGGAAACUGGGGCUAAUACCGGAUAGGAGCUCCUGCUGCAUGGUGGGGGUUGGAAAGUUUCGGCGGCUGGGGAUGGACUCGCGGCUUAUCAGCUUGUUGGUGGGGUAGUGGCUUACCAAGGCUUUGACGGGUAGCCGGCCUGGGAGGGUGACCGGCCACAUUGGGCCUGAAAUACGACCCGGCCUCCUACGGGAGGCAGCGGUGCAGAAUAUUGCACAAUGGGCGGAAGCCUAGUGCAGCAACGCCGCGUGCGGGAUGACGGCCUUCGGGUUGUAAACCGCUUUCGCCUGUGACGAAGCGUUAGUGACGGUAAUGGGUAAAGAAGCACCGGCUAACUACGUG
rnacentral:rRNA from 1 species